rnacentral:rRNA from 1 species
GGUUAAGCGACUAAGCGUACACGGUGGAUGCCCUGGCAGUCAGAGGCGAUGAAGGACGUGCUAAUCUGCGAAAAGCGUCGGUAAGGUGAUAUGAACCGUUACAG